AUGUCUUCCUCCACCGCAAUCACCUCUUCCGGCCUCAACUACAACACAUCAGAACCCCUCAGCCGGACGAAUUACGUUCUCUGGCGAGCCCAAGCGUGAUCCCAGAUACUGGGCGCUGGCUUGUUUGGCUACAUAGAUCAAACCAUAGAGGAGCCUCCCAAAACAAUCACUAGCAAAGACAAAGAUGGUAAGGAGCAGGUAGUUCCCAAUCCUGCCCAUAAUACCUGGUUAGUCCAAGAUCAA
rnacentral:rRNA from 1 species